GAUGAACGCUGGCGGCGUGCCUAAUACAUGCAAGUCGAGCGAACGGACGAGAAGCUUGCUUCUCUGAUGUUAGCGGCGGACGUGUGAGUAACACGUGGAUAACCUACCUAUAAGACUGGGAUAACUUCGGGAAACCGGAGCUAAUACCGGAUAAUAUUUUGAACCGCAUGGUUCAAAAGUGAAAGACGGUCUUGCUGUCACUUAUAGAUGGAUCCGCGCUGCAUUAGCUAGUUGGCAAGGUAACGGCUUACCAAGGCAACGAUGCAUAGCCGACCUGAGAGGGUGAUCGGCCACACUGGAACUGAGACACGGUCCAGACUCCUACGGGAGGCAGCAGUAGGGAAUCUUCCGCAAUGGGCGAAAGCCUGACGGAGCAACGCCGCGUGAGUGAUGAAGGUCUUCGGAUCGUAAAACUCUGUUAUUAGGGAAGAACAUAUGUGUAAGUAACUGUGCACAUCUUGACGGUACCUAAUCAGAAAGCCACGGCUAACUACGUG
rnacentral:rRNA from 1 species